rnacentral:rRNA from 1 species
UACGUAGGUGACAAGCGUUGUCCGGAUUUACUGGGCGUAAAGAGCGCGCAGGCGGUCGAUCAAGUCGAGUGUGAAAGCCCCCGGCUCAACUGGGGAGGGUCAUUCGAUACUGAUCGACUCGAAGGCAGGAGAGGGUAGUGGAAUUCCCGGUGUAGUGGUGAAAUGCGUAGAGAUCGGGAGGAACACCUGUGGCGAAGGCGGCCCCCUGGGCCGGCCCUGACACUGAGGCGCGAAAGCGUGGGGAGCAAACAGG